GACGAACGCUGGCGGCGUGCUUAACACAUGCAAGUCGAACGGACAGACAGAGAGCUUGCUCUCUUGAAGUUAGUGGCGAACGGGUGAGUAACGCGUAAUCAACCUGCCCUUCAGAGGGGGAUAACAACGGGAAACCGUUGCUAAUACCGCGUACGAUUCAUAGACGGCAUCGUUUGUGAAUGAAAGGUGGCCUCUAUGUAUAAGCUAUCGCUGAAGGAGGGGAUUGCGUCUGAUUAGCUAGUUGGAGGGGUAACGGCCCACCAAGGCAAUGAUCAGUAGCCGGUCUGAGAGGAUGAACGGCCACAUUGGGACUGAGACACGGCCCAAACUCCUACGGGAGGCAGCAGUGGGGAAUCUUCCGCAAUGGACGAAAGUCUGACGGAGCAACGCCGCGUGAGUGAUGAAGGUCUUCGGAUUGUAAAGCUCUGUUAAUCGGGACGAAAGAGUUCUGUGGAAUAAUGCAGAAAAG
rnacentral:rRNA from 1 species